GACGAACGCUGGCGGCGUGCUUAACACAUGCAAGUCGAACGGUGAAGCGCCUUCCUUUUUGGUGGGUGUGGAUGAGUGGCGAACGGGUGAGUAACACGUGAGUAACCUGCCCCCUUCUUCUGGAUAACCGCAUGAAAGUGUGGCUAAUACGGGAUAUUCUGGGUCUGUCGCAUGAUGGGUCUGUGAAAGAUAUUGUUUCGGUGGGGGAUGGGCUCGCGGCCUAUCAGCUUGUUGGUGGGGUGAUGGCCUACCAAGGCGGUGACGGGUAGCCGGCCUGAGAGGGUGGACGGUCACACUGGGACUGAGACACGGCCCAGACUCCUACGGGAGGCAGCAGUGGGGAAUAUUGCACAAUGGGCGCAAGCCUGAUGCAGCGACGCCGCGGGAGGGAUGGAGGCCUUCGGGUUGUGAACCUCUUUCGCCAGUGAAGCAGGCCUGCCUCGUUUGUGGGUGGGUUGACGGUAGCUGGAUAAGAAGCGCCGGCUAACUACGUG
rnacentral:rRNA from 1 species